AGUGAACGCUGGCGGUAGGCCUAACACAUGCAAGUCGAACGGCAGCACAGUAAGAGCUUGCUCUUACGGGUGGCGAGUGGCGGACGGGUGAGGAAUACAUCGGAAUCUACUUUUUCGUGGGGGAUAACGUAGGGAAACUUACGCUAAUACCGCAUACGACCUACGGGUGAAAGCAGGGGAUCUUCGGACCUUGCGCGAUUGAAUGAGCCGAUGUCGGAUUAGCUAGUUGGCGGGGUAAAGGCCCACCAAGGCGACGAUCCGUAGCUGGUCGGAGAGGAUGAUCGGCCACACUAGAACUGAGACACGGUCCAUGCUCCUACGGGAGGCCCCAGUGGGGAAUAUUGGGCAGUGGGCGGAAGCCUGGUCCAGCCAUACCGCGUGGGUGAAGACGGCGUUCGGGUUGUAAAGCCGUUUUGUUGGGAAAGAAAAGCAGCAGGUUAAUACCCCGCUGUUCUGACGGUACCCAAAGAAUAAGCACCGGCUAACUUCGUG
rnacentral:rRNA from 1 species